rnacentral:lncRNA from 1 species
UAUAAUUUUUUUCUUUUUUCCCUUGGAAAAAUUUUGAAAAAAAUUUUCCUGGUUUUUGAUUUUUUCAUCUUUUUCACCCUCUUUCUUUUUUUCUUUUUUUUUCUUUUUUUUUUCUUUUGUUUUUUUUUUUGAUUGCUUUUGCAAUGCCCCAGUUUAACUGUCUUGCUGAUUCUCAUGAUACAGCUGAAUGAGCUUCUCUGGUACUC